UGGGUAACCUGCCUGUAAGACUGGGAUAACUCCGGGAAACCGGAGCUAAUACCGGAUAGUUCCUUGAACCGCAUGGUUCAAGGAUGAAAGACGGUUUCGGCUGUCACUUACAGAUGGACCCGCGGCGCAUUAGCUAGUUGGUGGGGUAAUGGCUCACCAAGGCGACGAUGCGUAGCCGACCUGAGAGGGUGAUCGGCCACACUGGGACUGAGACACGGCCCAGACUCCUACGGGAGGCAGCAGUAGGGAAUCUUCCGCAAUGGACGAAAGUCUGACGGAGCAACGCCGCGUGAGUUAUGAAGGUUUUCGGAUCGUAAAGCUCUCUUGUUAGGGAAGAACAAGUGCGAGAGUAACUUGCUCGCACCUUGACGGUACCUAACCANAAAGCCACGGGUUAACUACUUGCCACAGNCGCGGUAAUAUCGUUAUGUUGAANGCGUUGUUCGGAAUUUAUGGGAA
rnacentral:rRNA from 1 species